UACAGAGGUCUCAAGCGUUGUUCGGAAUCACUGGGCGUAAAGGGUGCGUAGGCGGCACGGUAAGUCAGAGGGGAAAUCCCGGAGCUCAACUUCGGAAUUGCCUCCGAUACUGCCGUGCUUGAGGACUGGAGAGGAGAUUGGAAUUCACAGUGGAGCAGUGAAAUGCGUAGAUAUUGUGAGGAACACUAGUGGCGAAGGCGAAUCUCUGGACAGUUCCUGACGCUGAGGCACGAAGGCCAGGGGAGCAAACGGG
rnacentral:rRNA from 1 species